UACUAUGAUCUUAAGAGAAUGCCUGCACU
rnacentral:piRNA from 1 species